rnacentral:misc_RNA from 1 species
AACGCACAUUGCGCCCAUUAGUAUUCUAUUGGGCAUGCCUGUUCGAGCGUCAUUUCAACCCUUAAGCCUCUGUUGCUUAGUGUUGGGAGCCUACGGAAACGUAGCUCCCCAAAGUUAGUGGCGGAGUCGGCUCGCACUCUAGACGUAGUAGAAUUCUUUUAUCUCGCCUGUAGUGUGUGCCGUCCCCCUGCCGUAAAACCCCCCAAUUUUUUAAAGGUUGACCUCGGAUCAGGUAGGAAUACCCGCUGAACUUAA